UGCUUCUGGAUCGUUAGUACGGCGAGUGACCGGGAAAAGCUCAAAUUUGUAAUCUGGCUGUCUUCGAUAGUCCGAGUUGUAAUCUAUAGACGUGUUUUCCGUGCUGGACCGUAUCUAAGUCCCUUGGAACAGGGUAUCAAAGAGGGUGACAAUCCCGUGCUUGAUACGACCACCAGUGCUCUGUGAUACACGCUCUACGAGUCGAGUUGUUUGGGAAUGCAGCUCAAAAUGGGUGGUAAAUUCCAUCUAAAGCUAAAUAUUGGCGAGAGACCGAUAGCGAACAAGUACCGUGAGGGAAAGAUGAAAAGCACUUUGGAAAGAGAGUUAAACAGUACGUGAAAUUGUUGAAAGGGAAACGAUUGAAGUCAGUCGUGUUCUUUGGAUUCAGCUAGUUCUUCUAGUCUACUUCCAUUGAACGGGUCAACAUCAGUUUUGUCCGGUGGAUAAAGAUAGUAGGAAUGUAGCUCCCCCGGGAGUGUUAUAGACUAUUAUUGCAUACACUGGGUGAGACUGAGGACUGCAGCUCGCCUUUUGGCCGGUCUUCGGACACGUUCGAGCUUAGGAUGUUGACAUAAUGGCUUUAAACGACCCGUCUUAAA
rnacentral:rRNA from 1 species